UAAAAAUAUAAGAUAAUGUUAUUGUAUGCGAACUUUCCUAGUUCAUUUAUUCGAUUUUCUUGGUGAAUUAAUUAGAAUUCAAAAUGUACCGAAAAGACAAGAAAAACUUACACACUGGAAAAUGCACUAACCAGAAGUGCAAACUUUCAGAGACCUUAAGUAUUAGAAACCAAGCAUAAAUGUGACCAAAAAGGGAAGGUUAUGAAUAUGCCACCAGACAUUGACCUGUACAAGUAGUUCUAAUGCAUAAUCAGGAUAUUACCCUUGACAGACUGAUCAAGGUCUUGGAAGCUUAGCUACAUCACAUGAUGACUGUUGUCAGCAAAAAGAUAUCCAUCCUUCUGCUCAUGGUUUGAGUUUAGAUUUCAGGCUAGAAACUAGAGUGAUCAUCAGUGCCCAGAAGAUAAGAAACGUACCCUCAAAUGUCAGGUUUACGGUCUAGAAGAUAAGAAACGUACCCUCAAAUAUCCGGUUUACGGUUUAAAAGAUAAGAAACGUACCCUCAAAUGUCAGGUUUACGGUUUAAAAGAUAAGAAACGUACCCUCAAAUGUCCGGUUUACGGUUUAGAAGAUAAGAAACGUACCCUCAAAUGUCAGGUUUACGGUUUAGAAGAUAAGAAACGUACCCUCAAAUGUCAGGUUUACGGUUUAGAAGAUAAGAAACGUACCCUCAAAUGUCAGGUUUACGGUUUAGAAGAUAAGAAACGUACCCUCAAAUGUCAGGUUUACGGUUUAGAAGAUAAGAAACGUACCCUCAAAUAUCAGGUUUACGGUUUAGAAGACAUUCUUCAGCCUCUCACACUUUAACACACAGAGCAUUACUAGCAUCGCCAAUAGGCGACUGUACUUUUUACAAAUAGAUUGAAGAUCUAAAUAUCUAUCAAUUAUCGACGGGUUCGUGUGUUUGUGGAGAACUCGAAAUGGACAAUUUUCUCACUCCAUUGAAAAAUUAUAAUUAUAUAGUAUAGGGGAACUAUACUAUAUUAACUAUUAUUUGGAAACACAGAUUUUCUGCUGAACCUUUUAUAUAUGUGGAAUUUAAUACAGUUGUAAGACCUUUAGUGGUUGUAAGACCUUUAGUGGUUGCAAGACCUUUAGUGGUUGCAACCAGACCACACUUUUUUUGAUGAAGCAGGAUAAUUUUCGAUUCCAAACUACCAGGAUUUUAAAAGUCUACCUUGAACAGGAAGCCAUAGAAGGGCAAGUAGAUGAAUAAAGAUAAAACCUAAAUCAAAUCCCACAGAACACUUCCAAAGGUUCCAGGAGCUCUGUGUAUGUUUUGUGAGGUCAGAGCACUUGGCGAUGUAGUGAGUGAGGAAUAGGACAAAAUAUUCUAUUAUGUUUUCGCUGAUAGACCAGAGGCACGUCUCGCAAAUGCCUCCCAAAUGCCAAGCAAAUGCAGAGAUUAUAUCAAUGUAUUACUCGUUCAGACAAUAUAGGUUCAACUGAGAUUUGAAUUCUUUCCACUUUACAUUGAUGCUCCUGGAAUGUAUUAAUGAAACAAUUUUAUAAAACUAUAUUAUUACGUAAAUAGAUGAUGAUCCCCAAAUCAUACUCUAAUUUACAGCCUUCUGGUGUCCAUUUGGUUGUACAACAAUUUAAUUAUAAAAUCUUGUGGCUUUCAUUUUUUAUUUUAC
rnacentral:lncRNA from 1 species